UUUUAACCAUUCGUGAGCGAGUUGAGUAAAGGCGUACGGGUCGGGAGACGGGACAGAGAGAAGAUGGGACGGGCUCCUUCCUCGGGAAGACGACGCUGGAUGAUCAAAUCCACCAAUCUGCGAAGAGCAAUCCCCCAAACUUUGCUCCCCCACCACCACCAAGAAGGAGCCAAUCAGAAGUACCUAGACAAAAGCCAGUGGGUGGGCGGGGGAAGUCCAGCCAAUACCAAAAAGAAGAAAGGAGGAAUCCGCCAAUCAUUACUGGAAAUGCAGAGUACCCUUCAGGAGCAGUCCCCUCCUUCCGCUCUCAUUGGCGUUCGAGUGCGCGCUUUCAGUGUCGACUGUUAAAUGUCGCUCCGCGUCUUGUGAAUCCUCGACGGUGGGACGCCUCCGCGGGUGCGGUUUCCGGAAUGAGGCCCUCACAAUAAGUCCCGCCCCCCUUUCUUGCGUACGCACUCGGGCGGGGUUACUAAGGAGACGAACUUCGGAAAAUGGCUGACCGGCUUGCUUGGUGCUCGGCGCCUGGGCUUUCUGAUAGGAAUUGCAGCCCCAGCCCUGGGACUAUCUAACAGAAACAAGCGCUGUCAUGGAUAACAGCAAAUUCUCAACCGUAUACGGUAGCGCUGAGGCUCUUUCCUCAGCCCUUCCACGCCUCGUUUUCUCCCGUUUACUCCUUUCCUCUCUCGACCAGACAGGGAAAUGAAAAGAGCACUUUAAGGCCCAGCUCUGGCUGCGGGAGCUGGAAAAGGUUUCUGCGUGAGCCCUUACUUGCUAUGGGCUCAAAUGCGGCGAGCCAGGCCUUACCUGGUUUUUGCUUCCUUUUGUUGGUAUGCUUACCUCAGUGAGGUGACCUCAUAAAGCAAGUGAUGCAGUUAAGCAGGAUAAGUUCAGUCCAAAUUCAUUUAAUCAAGCUUGUUUUUAGGUGCCAACGAAGUUACAAGGCAUUUUUCUAGGUGUCAGGGACUGCGUGAAUGAAACACAUUCCCUGCUCGAAAGGAGCUUUACGUUCCGGAGAGGAGCAGGAGUUAAAAUGAUAGGAUAUAAUGAGUGAUAGAGAAAGGAGAUAAAGAAUGGGCAGUUUUUGAUACAAUAAUCCGGAAAGACCUCUUUGAGUUGACAUUUGAGCAGAAAGCUGAAAGUGGAGUGAGCCUUGCAGGAAUCUGGGGAAGAAUGGUACAGGAAUGAGUCCCAAAGUCUUCACAGAACUGGCCACCAAGGGAAAGAUGACACUUUUAUGAUCAGGAAAUGAAGACUCCUGAACUACCUUGCUCCUGCAAUACCGAGGACCCCCGACCAUCAGAAAGCUGCCAACUCCAGAAUUACACUGUGACCUGCUCUUGCACACUACACAUGUUCAGCUCUCAGUGUUAGAGCCCACAGUUCUAGUGGCUAGAUGCUGACACCUCUGCUAAUGCUGCUCUAGAAAUCCCAAAACCUCCGUGACUGUGCUGGUCAAUAGCAGGAGUGGAAGCCCAUGGAUGAAUAUCAGGCUUGGUGCAGCUGGCAGUAAUUUGUGCACAACUGUAACAGCUCUUUGAUCCUUUUCCUUUCACCCAGUACUAUGUGAGAGAGAUUACAGCUGUAGUUCUUGGCAAGAUACAAUUUUUAAGCCCAAAGAUUCUUAUUUUCUGGCUUCCAUGUGCAAUGCAACUACUUCACUCUUAAUGACCACUACCUUGGGGGCAUCUGAAACAAUGGGAUUCAACAGGUUGACAGCAUUCUUAGUCCCAUUUUUGUAGGCCUUGUAUGGCGGAACAGCAGGCACAUUUCCUUCCAAGGCUUUUAUUCACAGGCAGUUUCUGUGUGCUUUUUGUAUAAAAAUGAUUGUUUUUGUUUCAGCCCGUCCAAAUUAUUGAACUCUUAAUCCACUUAGAUUAUAGACAGAGUUUCCCUGUUAGGAAAGCUGAAUACCUUUCCAUCCCUACCUGCAGAUAGACUAGCUCUGACCUGAUUUAAUCUCGCAAAGAACUUUGCUAAAACUGGCAAAAAUUUAAAGCCAGUAAAUACCAAGAUCUAUACAUUUUUCCAAUUAUUUCCCUUCAUGCCACAAACAUCUUGCAACUGGACAGUGUCACUAGUUUUCCAUGUUGCAGUAUCUGAAUCUUUACCACAUGUUGCCUGAAUGCUUCUACUAAGGCAACAGUGUUUAUUUAAGGUCAAGUUGUGUGCUGUACGAAGCUGAUAAAGAUCACAUUCUGCACCAGAGAGGAAUAGGUUAAUCUAUGAAAAAUGGAAUAUGUUUUCAAGUGUCCUCAGCCAAGAUGAACAUUUAUUUCUUUAUCACAUAAACAGAGUGCAGAGGUAGGUAGUGGUGAUUCCAUGACCAUCAGGGACCUAACUCUCCAUUUUCAACAUUUGGCUUCUACCUUCUGGUCCAGAUGACUACUUAAGUUAUACCCAUCAUGUCUACAUUCUAAUAAGCAGAAAAGAGAAAAGGGGAAAGAUGACCAUGCUCCUCCCUUGACAGUACUUCCUGGAAGUUGUACACACCACUCCUGCUUGUAAUGCGUGGGCCAGAACUAACUUUAUUCUCCAUGUCUAUUAUGUCCAAUAAGGGGUCAUAAGAUCAAGGAAGAAGUAUCCAAUUGAUACUGGAGGACAAAUAUUCUCUGCUAUGCUUCUCCUUUCCUGGUUAAAUAAAAGAUUUCCCCGA